rnacentral:misc_RNA from 1 species
AAGUCAUAACAAGGUUUCCGUAGGUGAACCUGCGGAAGGAUCAUUAAUAGUGCCCUCUGAUGCAAAUCAUUGGGUUAGAUCUGCUCUCUUCGCAAGAAGAGGGUUUCCAUACACACCGUGAACUGUGGCUUCGGCCAUCACAAACUGUUAGUAAUGAAUGUAAUAUCAUAACAAAAACAAAACUUUUAACAACGGAUCUCUUGGUUCUG